AACGCGAAGAACCUUACCUGGGUUUGACAUGGAUCGGGAGUGCUCAGAGAUGGGUGUGCCUCUUUUGGGGUCGGUUCACAGGUGGUGCAUGGCUGUCGUCAGCUCGUGUCGUGAGAUGUUGGGUUAAGUCCCGCAACGAGCGCAACCCUUGUUCACUGUUGCCAGCACGUUAUGGUGGGGACUCAGUGGAGACCGCCGGGGUCAACUCGGAGGAAGGUGGGGAUGACGUCAAGUCAUCAUGCCCCUUAUGUCCAGGGCUUCACGCAUGCUACAAUGGCUGGUACAGAGAGUGGCGAGCCUGUGAGGGUGAGCGAAUCUCGGAAAGCCGGUCUCAGUUCGGAUUGGGGUCUGCAACUCGACCUCAUGAAGUCGGAGUCGCUAGUAAUCGCAGAUCAGCAACGCUGCGGUGAAUACGUUCCCGGGCCUUGUACACACCG
rnacentral:rRNA from 1 species